GACGAACGCUGGCGGCGUGCCUAAUACAUGCAAGUCGAACGAAGUGGCGAACGGGUGAGUAAUACGUGGGUAACCUGACCUCCUUUUUGGGAUAAGCCAUGGAAACGGGGUCUAAUACCGAAUAAAGGUGGAUGGGCGCGCGGCUUAUCUGCUUGUUGGUGGGGUGAUGACCUACCAAGGCGGUGACGGGUAGCCGGACUGAGAGGGGGAACGGCCACAUUGGUACUGAGAUACGGCCCAGAUGCCGACGGGAGGCAGCAGUGGGGUAUAUUGCAUAAUGGGCGAAAGCCUGAUGCAGCGACGCCGCGUGGAGGAUGAAGGCUUUCGGGUUGUAAACCUCUUUCGCUAGCGAACGGGUAGGUGGAGAAGAAGCGCCGGCUAACUACGUGCCAGCAGCCGCGGUAAUUC
rnacentral:rRNA from 1 species